rnacentral:rRNA from 1 species
GCAUAUCAAUAAGCGGAGGAAAAGAAAAUAACAAUGAUUCCCUUAGUAACUGCGAGUGAAGUGGGACAAGCUCAAAUUUUAAAUCUGUUAGGUUCUACCUUUAACAGAGUUGUAAUUUAAAGAAAUCGUUUUCUGUAUCUUGGGUUAGCAUAAAUCCUUUGGAACAAGGUAUCAUUGAGGGUGAGAAUCCCGUUCAUGGUUAAUCUCUUUAAGAUACUUUUUUAAGAUACGGUUUCCAAGAGUAGGGUUGUUUGGGAUUGCAGCUCGAAAUGGGAGGUAGAUUUCUCCUAAAGCUAAAUAUUGGCGAGAGACCGAUAGCGAACAAGUACCGUGAGGGAAAGAUGAAAAGAACUUUGGAAAGAGUGUUAAAUAGUACGUGAAAUUGUUGAAAAGGAAACGAUUAAAGUCAGUCAUACCGACGGGAAAUCAACCUUUUGGGUACUAGAGGGAGUGUCGCUGUUCCUUGUGAAUACGCCUCCCUCGUGAUUUUGGAGUUUUCAAGGAGUUUUUUCCAAAAAAACCUUUGGGGCUUUAUAUUUCUGCUCUUUUGGUGAACUUUCUCGUAGGUAGGUUAACAUCGAUUUUGAACGUUAUAAAAAGACUGGAGGAAUGUAGCUCCAUUCGGUCUUGUAUUGAAUGAUAGCCUUAUAGACUUCGGUAAAUGUAAUGAUCAAGAUCGAGGAUUGCAACGAAUACCCUUUUGGGCUAUCCGUCUGAUCUUUGAUACGUUAACUUGGCAUCGAAAGCGUUCAGGGUAAGUAUUGCUUCGGUGUUGAGGUUUACGGGUCAAAAGGUUAGAAUGUGAUUACAUUNGUUAAGGAUGUUGACGUA